GUAAAUAUCUCCUCUCCUCCCCCCACCACCCACCCUUCUCUUUACUUCUACGUUUUACUCUCCCCGAACUCGGCAGCACCAUUCAGUGGAAACCCCCUUCUCCUCCCCACACCCCUGACAAGCACCACCUCACUGGUUUCCUGGUCUAGCCGUUGAAUUUUGUUUUGGUUUUUGGAAACCUGCAUCAAAUCUGUGGGCAAGGUGGCAGCUGUAUGCAUCAUCUAACACCUGGAGCUUUUUUGCCUGUGUAGGAAUGGUACAUGGGGCUGUAGCUUCUUUAGGUUUUCCCCGAAUAACAAUGGACUAGCCAUUUUAAUUAACCUGACUCAGUCCACCAAGAUUGUCUUCAGUUCAGACAUGGCAACCCGGCACUUGUUAGAGAUAUGAUAUGGUUGGGAUUAGAGAUAAGAUAGAAUCGGUUUAAAGGAAUUACUUGUCUUGUACUCCAAGUCUAUCUCCCUCAUUGUUUCUCUUGUACUCCAAGUCUAUCUUCCUCAUUGUACCUCUAUAUAUACCCCAUAUGAGGGUCAGAUCAACACAGUAUAUCGUGGAAUACCAAUUAGGCUUCCAAUCCCAUACUUCCACAUGGUAUCAGAGCGGUUAGACUAACGUUGCCGAUCCUUGGACACACAGCUUCCGCAUCAAGCCACCUCCGGGGAGAUCGAUCUCUCUAGUCUCCUCGGAGGGCUCCCAUCCUUAGAUCAAGCCUCUUCCCCAGUUCUAGAUUAGAUCGUUUUCUAGUUCCAAAACAAUCCAUUAGCAGAUUGAUUUUUAGGCACGAAAAUACCCGACGAUCGAUCUCGACAAAGCCCUCUCACCGGUGCACAGAUCGGCUCGCUCCUACAUGGUGAUGGUGGUGUACUGCUUGACGACACCGUCGCACGACAUUUGGCCGACGAUCCUCCCGGCAUCAAGCCGCCACGCAGCGAGAGCUCCGCAGGCGUGCCUGCAUCAGCUGCAACACGCAGCGCCUGAAGUAGUACGUCUGUCCUCCACGAGCUGCUACAACGCAUCUACAUCGACAGGUCGACCAUCGCUGGACGAGAGCAACGGCGCCGGCACAAUUCGCCAGUAACAACUCCGUGCGUCUGCACCAUGCGCGCCUCUACACGCCUCAGGAGAGAGGCACCAUCCGAUUGGGUCGUGCGUGCACGCGCAUGUAGCCCCGUCCACAAUCCCUUCUGUUGAAUUUUGGUGCAUGCAGAUUCAAUCAAGCAUGGCGUGAAGAUUGGAUCGUACGCGUAUAGGUACGUACGGCCGUCCACAAGUACACAUCGACCAAGCGUCCUACCGGCCCAUCUACCGCACGCAUCUACUCCAACUAUUACCGUGCCGGCGGCCACGUCCGACUCGCGCACGUUGUGCCGACCAGAUUGACCCCGACUGCACCAGAUGACUCAUGGACGCCACGCCACGCCACCGAGCGCACGCUGAUCUACACCGACACCUUCACCGAUCUACGUACAUCACGCUUUCCAACUGCACGACUACAUCACGCCCAUCUACAAGCUACGUCCACUUCGUCGAGUACAUUUACGAGAAGCACAUGCACCAUCCACAUGCCAGGCCGGUGUGGAGCGAGGUGCAAUCUUCAUCGACUUCUCACGGCAUGCCGCACGGCAUCGACUCAACGUCGCCAAAAGGGACGCCUUCAAGCGACAGAUCAUCGUCGACAUGCCCGCUGAUACGCCAUCGCCGACGCUUCAUCGCCAAAGGUAUUCGUCCACGUGGUCUCCAUCAACAAUCUUCAUCAACUAGCCACCGCAACUUCGUCCACACGGAUGGACAUCUCUCGCGUCCUCUGACAGCUCAACUGCAAGACGCAUCAGCAACGACGGCAUACCCACGUUAGCUUCAUCGACGACGGCAUCCUUGCGUCAGCGACACAUACGCUGGCUUGACCGCGUCCGACAUAGAGCAACUGCAUCGACACCGGCAUCACUAUAUUGUGAUAGCCCCUACGCGGUGCACACGGUUCUGCCAAAACCGUUGUGUGCAGUGGGCUACCUCCAAUCUUGGCAAAAUUGGUGGUCUCACCUACGACCGCGUCCUCUAACAUCCGCAAGACGCCCCCGACGGUACCAUGUGUCUUCCACAAGGUGCAAAACGUCCCUGAUUGCAGCUCCGUCAUACACAUCGCGCAAUUUUUUUUUGCGCCUCCGGCUGCAUGCGGCUACAUCCACUACGACGACUACUACUUCGACCACGCCUACCUCGACCACGGCUACAUCAUGAUCGGCUACCUCGACAUCGACUUCUAGGGCUCUACGUCUACAGCGACUCAUCGGCAACAACUCCAGUCAAAGGGUCCGCGUCGUCACUAGCGUCCACGACACUCCUGCUAUGACUGUGGGAGGGAAUAGAGGAGAGACAGGGGACGGCACCAGAAGGGGACGGCAGGCACCGCCCUAGGUGACGGAUCGGUCCAUCAGAGACGCAGUUGAUGAUGGCGAAGCGGAGAAGACGAUGGAAGCACAAGACUUCAAAUCCAGUCGCAAUCGUCCGCUUCGCUCCCGCUACGACUGAGGGGGAAUGUUAGAGAUAUGAUAUGGUUGGGAUUAGAGAUAAGAUAGAAUCGGUUUAAAGGAAUUACUUGUCUUGUACUCCAAGUCUAUCUCCCUCAUUGUACCUCUUGUACUCCAAGUCUAUCUUCCUCAUUGUACCUCUAUAUAUACCCCAUAUGAGGGUCAGAUCAACACAGUAUAUCGUGGAAUACCAAUUAGGCUUCCAAUCCCAUACUUCCACAGCACUAGCCAUCCAUCCAAAAUCCCCUUUUAUUCUACUUCAUUAAAAUUAAUCCUCCACCCAAAAGCAGUGCAAGUGUUCGUUUGUCUCAGUGCAAUUGCACUGUUUACCUCUAGGAAUCGCAAUUUUUGGUCUGAC
rnacentral:lncRNA from 1 species